GAUGAACGCUGGCGGCGUGCCUAAUACAUGCAAGUCGAGCGAACAGACGAGGAGCUUGCUCCUCUGACGUUAGCGGCGGACGGGUGAGUAGCACGUGGAUAACCUACCUAUAAGACUGGGAUAACUUCGGGAACCCGGAGCUAAUACCGGAUAAUAUAUUGAACCGCAUGGUUCAAUAGUGAAAGACGGUUUUGCUGUCACUUAUAGAUGGAUCCGCGCCGCAUUAGCUAGUUGGUAAGGUAACGGCUUACCAAGGCAACGAUGCGUAGCCGACCUGAGAGGGUGAUCGGCCACACUGGAACUGAGACACGGUCCAGACUCCUACGGGAGGCAGCAGUAGGGAAUCUUCCGCAAUGGGCGAAAGCCUGACGGAGCAACGCCGCGUGAGUGAUGAAGGUCUUCGGAUCGUAAAACUCUGUUAUUAGGGAAGAACAAAUGUGUAAGUAACUAUGCACGUCUUGACGGUACCUAAUCAGAAAGCCACGGCUAACUACGUG
rnacentral:rRNA from 1 species